GAUGAACGCUGGCGGCGUGCUUAACACAUGCAAGUCGAACGGAAAGGCCACAGCUUGCUGUGGUACUCGAGUGGCGAACGGGUGAGUAACACGUGGGUGAUCUGCCCUGUACUUCGGGAUAAGCUUGGGAAACUGGGUCUAAUACCGGAUAGGAAUCACAUGUGGGUGUGUGGUUGGAAAGCUUUUGCGGUAUGGGAUGAGCUCGCGGCCUAUCAGCUUGUUGGUGGGGUAAUGGCCUACCAAGGCGUCGACGGGUAGCCGGCCUGAGAGGGUGUACGGCCACAUUGGGACUGAGAUACGGCCUAGACUCCUACGGGAGGCAGCAGUGGGGAAUAUUGCACAAUGGGCGCAAGCCUGAUGCAGCGACGCCGCGUGGGGGAUGACGGCCUUCGGGUUGUAAACUCCUUUCGUCAGGGACGAAGCGAAAGUGACGGUACCUGGAUAAGAAGCACCGGCUAACUACGUG
rnacentral:rRNA from 1 species